rnacentral:misc_RNA from 1 species
UCGUUUCCGGAUCUUACUACCAGCAUGUCAAACCUGGGUAAGGUUCUUCGCGUUGCGUCGAAUUAAACCACAUGCACCACCGCUUGUGCGGGCCCCCGUCAAUUCCUUUGAGUUUCAACCUUGCGGCCGUACUCCCCAGGCGGUCAACUUCACGCGUUAGCUUCGUUACUGAGUACUAAUGCACCCAACAACCAGUUGACAUCGUUUAGGGCGUGGACUAC